GACGAACGCUGGCGGCGUGCUUAACACAUGCAAGUCGAACGGAAAGGCCCUGCUUUUGUGGGGUGCUCGAGUGGCGAACGGGUGAGUAACACGUGAGUAACCUGCCCUUGACUUUGGGAUAACUUCAGGAAACUGGGGCUAAUACCGGAUAGGAGCUCCUGCUGCAUGGUGGGGGUUGGAAAGUUUCGGCGGUUGGGGAUGGACUCGCGGCUUAUCAGCUUGUUGGUGGGGUAGUGGCUUACCAAGGCUUUGACGGGUAGCCGGCCUGAGAGGGUGACCGGCCACAUUGGGACUGAGAUACGGCCCAGACUCCUACGGGAGGCAGCAGUGGGGAAUAUGGCACAAUGGGCGGAAGCCUGAUGCAGCAACGCCGCGUGCGGGAUGAAGGCCUUCGGGUUGGAAACCGCUUUCGCCUGUGACGAAGCGUGAGUGACGGUAAUGGGUAAAGAAGCACCGGCUAACUACGUG
rnacentral:rRNA from 1 species